CAACUUUUGACAAUGGAUCUCUUGGUUCUCGCAACGAUGAAGAACGCAGCAAAAUGCGAUAAGUAGUGUGAAUUGCAGAAUACGUGGAUCAUCGAAUCUUCGAACGCAUAUUG
rnacentral:rRNA from 1 species